UUAGUGCAGAAAAAUAAAUUCACGGAGAACGGAAAAACAAAUGACCGGAGCUGUAAUGGUUUUGAUUUUCAAGGUUUCUUCCAAUUCUCUAUAGGUCAUCAAAAUUGAAGUUGGAGGCCAUCAACUACCAUGGCUUUGCUUACUAAUACCUCAGCUAAUAUCUACUCUGUAACCAACCACGUAUCAUGGUCAAAUUCUACCUUCAUGGGUGGGAAGUUCACUGCCCUCUAUCUAAUUGAUUCUUGUCAGUUCUUGCAGUUACCUGCCAAAUCACCUAGCGGCGAUAAGUUUCGCACAAGGACUUUUGCGAGACGGAAAUCAGUGAAAAAAUGGACAAGGGAUGAGCGGUCACAAAAUGGUAUAGCUCUGGAAAGUACUGAGAAGGGUUUAGAAGAAGAGAGAGUAGUGUUAUCAGAUAAGUCUUCUUUAGAGGAUAAUUCUGUGGAGCCUGUGCAAAGUACACUCAACAAUAUCGCUUCAAGAAGUGAUGUGCUUCAGGCAUGCACUGUCACUUCUGGGUUGAUAGCUGCUUUGGGUAUAUUAAUUCGACAGGUGUCUCAUGUCGCAUCAAUGGAAGGACUGCCAAUCCUCGACUGCUCUACAGAAGUCUCAUUUGGUAUUGAGAUGUGGCAUCUUGAGUUGAUUACAGGAUUGGUCAUACUGAUUUCAUCAUGCAGAUACUUGCUACUGAAGACAUGGCCAGAUUUUGCUGAAUCAACAGAAGCAGCCAAUCAGCAGGUCCUUACAUCAUUACAACCUUUGGAUUACUUAGUUGUUUCAUUCUUGCCGGGAGUUACUGAGGAACUUCUUUUCCGAGGUGCGCUGCUACCGCUCUUUGGAAUGGAUUGGAAGAGUGUCCUUCUAGCUGCUACCAUAUUUGGUGUUCUACAUUUGGGAAACGGUCGAAAGUACUCCUUUGCUAUCUGGGCAACCUUUGUUGGAUUUGUCUAUGGCUAUGCUACCAUUGUAUCCUCAAGCUUGGUCGUACCAAUGGCUUCUCAUGCACUGAACAAUCUAGCCGGUGGGCUCCUGUGGCGACACACAUCAAAGCCAGCAAAAUAGAAAUCAGAUGAUCAUUUUUUUAUUACCUGUUUUACAACAUGAACACUACCUAAUUUGACCAGUGAAAAACACGACUGCAGAGGGAUCCAUGUACAGUUUGAGAUCUUGAAUACAAAACUCCAGUCUCUCAAGUCCAAGCUAUAAGCACAUCAUCAAGAUAUGGUAUGGUUGCACAGCAAUGAGAAUCCCAAAGUCAGGAGAUAGAAAGACGCAAAACAGCAAGAGUUUCAAGUUUCCCAAGAUCAGAGUAGAGUAAAUCCAGAACGAUAUCGUUCUGGAUUU